rnacentral:rRNA from 1 species
CCUACGGGAGGCAGCAGUGGGGAAUUUUUCGCAAUGGGGGAAACCCUGACGAAGCAACGCCGCGUGAAGGAUGAAGGCCUUCGGGUCGUAAACUUCUGUCAACCGGGAAGAAACCGUCCAGUCGAAUAGACUGUGGCGUUGACUGUACCGGUGGAGGAAGCUCCGGCUAACUCUGUGCCAGCAGCCGCGGU